UACGUAGGGUGCGAGCGUUAAUCGGAAUUACUGGGCGUAAAGCGUGCGCAGGCGGUCUCGUAAGCUGGGUGUGAAAGCCCCGGGCUCAACCUGGGAAUGGCGAUGGAAACUGGCGGGCUUGAGUCUGGCAGAGGGGGGUGGAAUUCCGCGUGUAGCAGUGAAAUGCGUAGAGAUGCGGAGGAACACCGAUGGCGAAGGCAGCCCCCUGGGCCAAGACUGACGCUCAGGCACGAAAGCGUGGGGAGCAAACAGG
rnacentral:rRNA from 1 species